GCAGCCAUUGCCGGUGCUGGGAGAGCGGGCAGGGGAUGGGCCUGGGUGAUUCGGCUGAAUCGAUUCAGGACAGUGAUUCAAGUCACCGAAUCGAAUCACUGUCUCCCAAAUCAGCCAAAUCCAAAGCAAGUACUAGCUGCUUCGCACAGACCUAUUAAACGUGAGCUUUGCAAUCUGCUCCUCCAUAAUACUUCUAACUAGUAUCCACUGACAAAAUCUCUGUUAAUGCUGAGUUCAGGUUUCCCACUGCUGCCUCGUGCCCUUGAGGAAAGUGGAACCUAAAAUUAAAUUUCAGAAAAACAGGUAUUAAAAAUUUGACCAUAGAUCUUUUGUUCUCCACACUCAGUCUUUGAAAUCCUUUGACCAGAUGACCCCAAAUUUGCACCACCAAACCCUAAUCUGAGCUACAGUGAGGCAAAGCAAUUUUCAAGACAAUCUGAGGAUAUACAUGGAUUUUAAAGGACUUUGAAAAACUGCCUGUUAAGCAAACCUAUGAGGGUAUUCAGCUUGGAGCCGGUGAGGAGGAUCCUCCACUAGAGCUGAUACUUCAUCUGAUUCUUGACGUCCGUGUUGACAUAUUUCUCCCAAGCCUUGAAACCUGAGUGAUAAGGCAGGCACAGGAGUGGAAUAACCCAAAGACUUUGUCUAAUCAGAGCAACAGCAGUGGCCUUGCUGAACUCUCAUGGUACAAUUAGAGCCUGUCUAUGGCUGAGGCACAAGCUUCUGGUGGAGGGAAGGACCAGGGCCCCCCACAGCUCAGGAACCAUUCGGCCUGCUGGAAGCUCGCUCCCUGGCUGCAGGCAAGCUCCAGCUCUGACAACAACAACAAAAGGAUUAGGGCCCUCACCGUAACAUGAUGGAAAAAUUGAAACUGUUUAGUUCCCAGGGUUUUAUUCUAUGGCCCACUGUUUCAACUUAGGGGACAUAAAAUAAAACCUGGGGGAUUAACCCCCGUCACAUGUACGAGAUCCCACAUUGAUUGCAAUAGGCUUUGCAUGAUGUAUCUGGGAAAUAAAGUCACAUGCCUAAUGUUCUUUCAGUGCUGCAGUCUCCUCAAAGAACCUAGAAUGAGACGAGACUUGCUCUGCACUGGGGCAUGUCCCAAAUACCCUUUUGCCAGCUCAUGUAAUGGGGGUCUGCUGCUUCCAUGUGUAAUAGAUAAAUGUGAGUGAGCGCAUCUACACAAGAUACUAAAUGUGCAGUAACAUGUCAAGUCAAAACCAGUGCUAAUACACUACUGUACAGUAGUAUUAGGCUACUGUACAGUAGCAUCACUAAAAAAGCAUGUGCCAGCGGUACUGUGGAGUAGUACAAUUCUGUGCUUGGUUAUCAAGUACUAAACUUAAUAUGCAGUAACUACGGCACCUUAAUGAACAUGUAGACAUGCCCAGUGCGUCCCAAUGAAAACUGGAGUAACUACUCUCAUGCUUAAAGCUAAUCUGGUGUAAAUCUGAAAGGGGACAGGGAGCACUGGAGUCUGGUAGUUGUCUGGCCAUUCUAUAGAUAGUUUGGAUGGAGUACUAGAGGUCUGACUCCGCAUUACUCCAUACCUUGUACAUUAGUUCCAAGUGAGGACAAAGCAGAUAUAAAACACUACCAUUCUGAUUCCAGUGUGUCCAAUUCUAAUUUUAUUGCAAGUUACACAGUAUUUGCUGCUUUCCUUAAUGGCCCAAAUCCUGGAGUCCUCUGAUUACAUCAGAAUCUCAGUUUUCUUUAUAAAGUAUUUCUAGUGCUUAUGGUUGUAGAAGAAAGUUUUAAAAUGUGAACCCUAAUGGCUCCAAAUCAAGAAGACAAGGGUGUUUAGUGAUUUUAGUCCCUUGAUUGUUAAGUGACUCAUGGGUUAUUUAGGGCAGAACUUAAGAUCUUUGAGAGCUUGCAUUUGGCAAUACUUUGCACUUGUUUUGCAUUGCCAUAACUGCACAAGAUGAAGGAAACUGAAGAACCAAAUCUCUAUUAUCCAAGUCCAUGUUUUUUGGUUUCCAUUUUUAUUUUCCCCCAGAACUGCUUAAUCAUUUUUUUAGGUAUAUUGUUUCUCAGCAAAACCCAGACCUGUAGUAUAUACAGUCAUGUCCUUCCAGAACAAGAUCUGAACUACAGAAAUGGACAUCCCAUUACAAAUAUAAACGCUACAUGUGUGUAUUGAUUGAUCCCUGAACUGACAUUCCAAUUUAUUUCCCACCAACAGGGUCAUUCAUUACAAAGGAAUAAGACUGUUAAAUGGAUGAUAAAGCACGUGCGCCAAUAAACCAGGCUGGUGGUUACUUUACUGUAUGUGUUUGAAAAAUAGGCCUGGUAAAUAAAUUCACUUGUGAAUAUAAGGGACCUUUAAAAAUGAAUAAAGGAAUGGUAAUGUCUUUAUUAUUAAA